CAAGAACUCAGCUGUUGUCCCCCGGUGGAGUGAUUCGUUCUCCAUCUGUCAGUGACCUCUUGGACUCUCCUACCAAAAAAUAUCCCAGAGCCUUCUUGGACCUGAAGGCUGCACCUCCAGGCUCUGUGGAAGAAGCUUCUUUCCGAAGACGUUUUUCCGUGGCACGUCAGGCCCUGUCAUGGAAAGCACCUCCUGCCCCUCUCCAGCUGCUUCCCAGGGAAGCUGCUCCUGCUGCUGAUGGUCGGUGGGGUCCCAACACCCACCACCCUGAGGAACCCAAAGCUGAGCACCAGGAUCCAAGAGGAGCUGGGAAUUCCAGGGACAGGUUGAAAGGGGCUGGUGAAACCCUCCAGAGAAAAUCCAGCAAGCCCAAGUCAGGUUCUCACGUCCCUCAGCUCCUCACCCAGCCUGGCUCCAGUUCCAGAGCUGUCCUGCCUCCAAUCCCACCCGGGAGGAAGAGCAGCAACCCUUGAUGGCCCCACUCCCCCCUCCCAAAAAUCUUGGCCACCCCCACUCUUUAUUUUAACAACAACAGCGAUUUUCAUCAAAGAUUAUUACGAAAUCCAUUUCUUAUUAGCCCUCAAAAAAAAUAAAGUUAUUUAUUUCAAACUUUAUUAAAAAGUCGUUUCUC